UGAACGCUGGCGGUAGGCCUAACACAUGCAAGUCGAACGGCAGCACAGUAAGAGCUUGCUCUUACGGGUGGCGAGUGGCGGACGGGUGAGGAAUACAUCGGAAUCUACUUUUUCGUGGGGGAUAACGUAGGGAAACUUACGCUAAUACCGCAUACGACCUACGGGUGAAAGCAGGGGAUCUUCGGACCUUGCGCGAUUGAAUGAGCCGAUGUCGGAUUAGCUAGUUGGCGGGGAAAGGCCCACCAAGGCGACGAUCCGUAGCUGGUCUGAGAGGAUGAUCAGCCACACUGGAACUGAGACACGGUCCAGACUCCUACGGGAGGCAGCAGUGGGGAAUAUUGGACAAUGGGCGCAAGCCUGAUCCAGCCAUACCGCGUGGGUGAAGAAGGCCUUCGGGUUGUAAAGCCCUUUUGUUGGGAAAGAAAAGCAGCAGGUUAAUACCCCGCUGUUCUGACGGUACCCAAAGAAUAAGCACCGGCUAACUUCGUG
rnacentral:rRNA from 1 species